UGCAAGUCGAACGAAGUAGCAAUACUUAGUGGCAGACGGGUGAGUAACAUGUGGGUAUCUACCCUUUGGCCUGGAAUAACACGAGGAAACUUGUGCUAAUACCGGAUAAGUCUUUACGGAGAAAGCUUUAUGCACCAUUGGAUGAGCCCGCACUUGAUUAGUUUGUUGGUAGGGUAAUGGCCUACCAAGACUAUGAUCAAUAGCUGAUUUGAGAGGAUGAUCAGCCACAUUGGGACUGAGACACGGCCCAAACUCCUACGGGAGGCAGCAGUGGGGAAUCUUGCACAAUGGAGGAAACUCUGAUGCAGCGAUGCCGCGUGAGUGAAGAAGGCCUUUGGGUUGUAAAGCUCUUUCGUCGGGGAAGAAAAUGACUGUACCCGAAUAAGAAGGUCCGGCUAACUUCGUGCCAGCAGCCGCGGUAAUACGAAGGGACCUAGCGUAGUUCGGAAUUACUGGGCUUAAAGAGUUCGUAGGUGGUUGAAAAAGUUGGUGGUGAAAUCCCAGAGCUUAACUUUGGAACUGCCAUCAAAACUUUUCAGCUAGAGUAUGAUAGAGGAAAGCAGAAUUUCUAGUGUAGAGGUGAAAUUCGUAGAUAUUAGAAAGAAUACCAAUUGCGAAGGCAGCUUUCUGG
rnacentral:rRNA from 1 species